rnacentral:lncRNA from 1 species
CAAAUAUCUGAUCUGCUGUAGUUACUCCUAGUACUGUCAUGUUCGUGGGCUUCAUGCCUCUGCCUAGGCUGGGAGCUCAGGGAUUCACACACCUUGCACACAGGACGGCUACCUGACAAAUGCCUCAGGACCCAUCUGACCUCAAACAGAGCUUGUACAGGCAUUGUCUAUUUGGACCACUUGCCUUAGAAACCCUUGGGCUGCUGGUUAAAAUGCAGAUUCCAGAGCUUUCCCAGACUGGCCAAAUCAGAAUCUCUGGGGGGUGGCGCUCAGGCAUGUGUAUGUUUGCCCGUUUCCCAAGCCCAUACUUGAGGACCAUUGUGUGGAGUAAGAUUAGAGAAGGCAGGUCAUCAGCAAGAUUUGAGCUCCAUCUUAGAGGACAAGCCAAAUUCGGAUGUAUAGUGUCAUUCCUGACAGGGGGAAUGUCAGGGGUUUGAGGAUGUGGUGGUCAGUGGCCACGGGUGGAAUGUCCUGGUGACCUGAGGAAGUGAGUGGAGUGGCUGGGUGGGUCCAGACUUGCUACGGUGGAGAACAGGGAGCUAUUGAGCGUUGACCAAUGGGCAGUGAUGUAAUAGCAGCAGGAAGGAAGAUGUCACAAGGGCAAUGUUUACUCUUUUCUCUUCUGCAUUUCCCUGAGCUGCUCCCUCUUCACACUUCCCUUCUCAACUGCAAAGUAAUGGGCAAGCCUCUCAGGGAACAUGGAAGGCACCCCUGUGGGGCAAAAUCCUCUAGCAAAGGGGAGGGCCCCAGACAGCCAGCAUCCAGUGGAUCCUGGUCCUGGGACCAGGAUAAGAUGAAGGGGAGAGGACUCUGGGGUGGCCAUGGCUGCUGCUGCUGCUGCUGCCGCUGCUGCUGCUGCUGCUGCCGCUGCUGCCCUGAGCCUCAGGAUUCCAAGCUGUAGGAAAAGAAGAGAAAAGAAAGUGACUGCUGGUGGGAAAGACCUUGACCUCAUUCUACUCUUACAGUGGCAUCUUCUACUCCUCCGGCCUGAAGGCCUGGCAGUGG